GACGAACGCUGGCGGCGUGCUUAACACAUGCAAGUCGAACGGCAAGGCCCUGCUUUUGUGGGGUGCUCGAGUGGCGAACGGGUGAGUAACACGUGAGUAACCUGCCCUUGACUUUGGGAUAACUUCAGGAAACUGGGGCUAAUACCGGAUAGGAGCUCCUGCUGCAUGGUGGGGGUUGGAAAGUUUCGGCGGUUGGGGAUGGACUCGCGGCUUAUCAGCUUGUUGGUGGGGUAGUGGCUUACCAAGGCUUUGACGGGUAGCCGGCCUGAGAGGGUGGCCGGCCACAUUGGGACUGAGAGACGGCCCAGACUCCUACGGGAGGCAGCAGUGGGGAAUAUGGCACAAUGGGCGGAAGCCUGAUGCAGCAACGCCGCGUGCGGGAUGACGGCCUGCGGGGUGUAAACCGCUUGCGCCUGUGACGAAGCGUGAGUGACGGUAAUGGGUAAAGAAGCACCGGCUAACUACGUG
rnacentral:rRNA from 1 species